rnacentral:lncRNA from 1 species
GUAUUUCUGAGCCAGCCACAGAAGUACUGGGCACCUCUGUGGAGUGGAUAACCUUUGUUAUCAAGAAGGGGACAAGAUCUGAGCAUUGGCACCCGCUGCAGCAAUGCUCUGGGCUCUGCAGAGCAGGGAAGGAGCCUGACCAUCCUGGGGAGCAGCAGAGGGGUCAUCCUGCCAAAGCCCUGGUUGCCAGUGAAGGCUGGAUGAGCUGGGGCUCCAACAAGUGUUUGUCCCACUCUGACACAGCCACUGAGGAUGACAUACACUGCUGUUGGCAGCAGGGUGAAUUAGAGCUCCAGCGACAGCCACCCUGUGACUGAAAUGCCUUUGCAAGUUGGAAUGCUCGGGGAGUCACAAGCCUGGGGAAAGCACAGCCUGGAGAGGGGAAGCUGUGGUGAGGAGAGAGAGGCAAGGACAACUGGAAAACCUGACAAGAAACAUCAAAGGAGAAAUAUGAAGCUGAGAUUUGAAAAGCCUUGGGAUUUCCUCUUGCCAUGUUUGAAUACUGGAGUUUUGCAGCACCAGAAAUCUCUUCACUCUGACAUACUUAUGCACAUUAUAGACUGA